UCUGUGUUCGCAGUUCAGUCAUGGCCACCAUAGUUGUAAAGGUUGCGAAUUUGAUUACUGGGAAAUCAUCGCUCCUGCGAUGCAAAUCAGUGUACAAUGGAGAAGAGGACCAGCCAGGACCUUCAUCCUUUCAUUAAGAUCUGGUACAGCAGAUCCACCUUCGAGGCUCCUUCAGGGUGACAAGAGCAGCCUUCCUUGUGUCACGAAGCAGCAGAAGUUGGCUGCAUCAUCAUGACAGUGUCCACAUCAGGCAUAUUGGGCAACUUUGGACUGGCCAAUUACAGUGCUGCCAAGCUGGGAUUGCUGGGCCUGAGCAUUUAACACAUUGUCCAUUGAAGGUCAAAAGUUCUUAAAUGUACAGGCAACCACCGCAGCACCAUUGUUCCCGUCACGCGUGACAGAGGGCAUCCUUUCUCCUGGUGACUGGCGUGCCUCCCCCCAGAGACUUGUUUGAUGAAUUCAAGCCAGAAUUAGUGGCACCUUUAGUCAUGAGGACUGUGAGGACACUGGUGGACUCUUCCUGACUGCAUGCUGGUAGCUGGUAUGGCAAAUACGAGUCUCUUACUUUGUGGCUCUGCAAGAAAUGGACAGUGCAAGAGACACCAGCUGUGAAAACACUUCAGAUUCUGGCCCACCAUCUGCCUCUCAUUCAGCCUCCUCUGGCCCACUGCUGCCUCACUACUCUUGGGUUGUGAGACGUGCCUUGGCUUGGUCCUCUUUUUGUCCUGCAUCCCUCUACAGCUGACUGGUUGACUGCUCAUCGAGACUUGUCAGGCUGGUACACUUCAAGCACAACUUGUUCCACACAGACCUGGUACAGCAGAUCACCUUCAAGGCUCCUUCAGGGUGACAAGAGCAGCCUUCCCUGUCAUGAAGCAGCAGAAAUUUAGCUGCAUCAUCAUGACAGGAGCCAGUUACAGCUGCUGCCUCACUACUCUUGGGUUGUGAGACGUGCCUUGGCUUGGUCCUCUUGCAUCCCUCUACAGCUGAGUGGGGACUUGUCAUUUUCGUUCUUUCAUGACAUGGAUAUCAGGAUUGUUGGCUUGGUUUGACAUGGAUAUCGUCAUCCCUGAGGUGGUGGUGGUGGUUUCUGGUCCUUGCUCUCCUCUGAGAUGCAUUACACUCUUAGAGCUUCAACUCACCUUGCAGUACAAUGACAACUGACUGUAGCUAUGGUGCUGCCCUUCCUGAUACCUCACUCACUCUAAUAGCUUCAUACAAUGGAUGGCCAGCGUAUGCAAUUUUUGACCCCGAUGUGGAAUGGUCUGCCUGGAGGCUGGGUAGGCCAGCAUCUUCCUCAUUCUUCUACUUCCACAUUUUGUGAGCUUUGUGACAUCCUGGAUGCAGUCAGCCUUCAGUGCAGUGAUCAUCUGUGACUCUUGUCUGCUGUCAACAAAAGCCCUUUCAAGUGUUAACCCAAAGUGCACUGCCAUAACAACUGUACUGCCUUUCUUUGCUUUGGGUCAUGACGGACAUUUGCUUCCAGUGACCAGGCCAUUGGUCUCCAGAGGGAAGUGCGUGUCAUCCAUCUGUUACUAUGACUCCUUUCACUACCAUCGCUACAAAUGUGCAGCAUAAGAGUCAUGGUGAGGAGGCACAGUGUGGGGUUUGCCAGGCUGUCUUGGCUUCAGGCGGGUGUGGAGGUUGUAGGACUGCUGCAUUGUUCAGUUGGAAGAUCAGUUGUGGAUGACUUCUUUGGCAUGCUUGGCAUGAAUGUGAUGAGCCAGCUGGAUGUCCUUUGGCAUGAUAGUCACACACUUGGCAUGGAGUGAUUGUACACAAGUUGGUAUCCUGAAAGAGACUCACAGGAUAAGCUUUAGAACACCAGUGGGCAAAAACAUUUUAGUGUUAUUUGUCCACAUAGUAUAUAUUAAACCCCAUAGUAUAUUAAACCCAAACAUACACACACCUACAGGAAGAAAACAAAAUGAUCUCAUAUAUUUGGUGGUGUUUGUUAGCGUUAACAUUUGUUGGGCUGCAUUAAUUCCUUUGGCAGGCCACUCGCUGCCCAUUUGCAGUAGUUUGCCCACACCUGCAUUAGAACCUUCCUGGAGAGCCUUGACAGCAGAGGAUUGGGAGCGGAGCCUUGACAGCAGAGGAUUGGGAGCGGACAUCAGUUUUGAAAUCCUGAGCAACUUCACGCACCAAGUGCAGGAAAGACAGUUUUUCAAUAAGCAGUUCGAUAUUCUGAUAACAGCAGACCUCAUUGAAAGUCAGUGUUCUGGCCUAUAACUGUGGGAGUUCUUGACACCCCCAGUGGCUGGAGCCUUGGGGUCUGCUGCCUUGUCAACCAUUUGCUCGGUACUAAACCUGCCAUAACAACCAAUGCUUGGGAGAAACACUCAAUUGAAUUGUACUGUGUGGUACUUUUAGCAGUUCACUGGAACAUCACUUUCUCUGCUACCCUUUGCUGGAGUGGUACCCCUGGCAGCAAGCACACUGGAACACCAAUAAUGGUCCAAUUAGUGUUCCAAAUAUAUAUUACUAGGCGUUUCAGAGAGUUUGAGGGCAUGUUUUUCUAGAAUAACUUUGUAAGGAACAUGCAUAUCAUUAUGAAAUUUUGCCACAGUGUAUUUGACACCCUCCCCUAAUAUCUCAAUGUGUCGUCAUGAAUUGUAAACAGUAUAUAAUAAUGGCACUAAUCCCUAUAAAAACAGGAGAAAAUCACUUAUUCCUCACGAAGAAAUGGACAAGUGGUGAGAAAUGGUGACGUAGGGGGUCCCUCACGAAGAA
rnacentral:misc_RNA from 1 species